rnacentral:tRNA from 1 species
GACUUGCUAGCUCAGAAGGUAAGAGCGUCGUGUUGGAAACACGGAAGAUCAUGAGUUCGAUCCUCAUACAAGUCA